rnacentral:tRNA from 1 species
GCCGGUAGCGGUGGCGUAGUGGUAAGCGCUCUGAGGCAACUUCCAAAAUGGCGGGAUUGGUGGCCUUGCUUUUUGGGGGUGGGGGGUCCGAUUCCCAUCGCCGGCA